AAAACGACAUUAUUCUAUUUGCAUCAUUCUUAUAUGAAUUUCAAUUUAUCAUUGUAUUUAUCGUAUGUAUAUCAAAUAUUUAAUUAUUCAGUAAUGUUAAAAGUUAAAUUUUCCAGAAUACAUCUUCCCAUUUACUUUCCAAAUGACAUCAAUUUCUAAAAAACUCGAAAAAUAUAUUCAAGUGCAAUUAAAUUGUUAUAAAAUCUAUAUUCUUCAUUAUAAAAGAUAUUAUCAUUAAUGAGGAUAUAAAUAUGGAUUUAUACAAAUGAAGCCUUCUGAUCUUAAGGGACAAUUAUUUUUAUACUGCUUUAUGACUCUGUCAUUUUUAAACAAUGCAUUCCUAAAGAAAAUGAUUUCCAUGAAAGAUACAAUGCAUAUAGAGAAGAUAGGAUAUUUAUGCCGAAUGAAAAGAUUUUAUUUCAAAUAAAAAUUUUAAAGUACGAAGAUAAAAUGAGAGGUAUUCUCAAUAACAAAAAUAUUUCUUAUAUUUACUACACAUUGUAUGCUUAUUGUAUACUUAUUUAUCGUGAAGAAUAAAUUAUUAAAAUCUUUUAUA